CCUCGGGGGUAACAGUGAUGAGGAACUGGGUGCAGACAUGAGUGAGGCAGCCAGGCCCGGCCAGAGAAGCAACACACAGGUGCACAGAUGCGUUUACCCACGUACACAUGUGCACACAUUGCAUGCAGUCAUGUUGACGCCUCAGGCAGUGGAGGACGCUGACUCUGGGCCCUGAUGACCCGGGCAAGUCCCCAUUGUGAUGUGUGCCAAGACCUCAGAAUGUCACUGGUGCUGAGCACCCGCUCGCCCUCCAGCCUGCCUCUGUGUUCCAGAGCAGUUGCACACACACAGUGCUAUCUGUGAGCAGUUCUGUGUCAUGAGAGUUUGCUACAUGUGAGUGGUCAGAGAAAUGGUGAGUGGUCAGAUAAUGGGUUGACUUGAUAUGUACAUGCUUAGAAGUAGUGUGUGUCUUGAAUCAACAGGUACGGGGUGUGGCAGAAUGUGGCCAAGGUAGGGAGUAA
rnacentral:lncRNA from 1 species